UACAGAGGUCUCAAGCGUUGUUCGGAUUUACUGGGCGUAAAGGGCGCGUAGGCGGCCACCGCAAGUCAAUUGUGAAAUCUCCGGGCUUAACUCGGAAAGGUCAACUGAUACUGCGGGGCUAGAGUGCGGAAGGGGCAACUGGAAUUCUCGGUGUAGCGGUGAAAUGCGUAGAUAUCGAGAGGAACACCUGCGGCGAAGGCGGGUUGCUGGGCCGACACUGACGCUGAUGCGCGAAAGCCAGGGGAGCGAACGGG
rnacentral:rRNA from 1 species